CGGGUGAGUAACACGUAGGUGAUCUACCUUUGGGUGGGGAAUAGCCCAUGGAAACAUGGGGUAAUACCGCAUGAGGUCUUUGGGCUUAGGUGUCCAUAGAUAAAAGGAGCAAUUGUUCCGCCUGGGGAUGAGCCUGCGGUCCAUUAGCUAGUUGGUGUGGUAAGAGCGCACCAAGGCGACGAUGGAUAGCCGGCCUGAGAGGGUGAACGGCCACACUGGGACUGAGACACGGCCCAG
rnacentral:rRNA from 1 species